GUUCUGCUGAUGGUGAAGUCUGAAUUUGGGAUACCCUUCAACAUCGAACUGUGUCAUCUGCAUGGUUACAUAGUGCUGCACAUGGUAUUGUUGCUGUUGCUUGUGCUUCUUCCCUCGGAACCAAUAAAUUUGCCAGCCAGGGUAGGGAUGGAACUGUAAAAGUUUGGGAAUUUGA